UAAUACGUAGGUGGCAAGCGUUGUCCGGAUUUAUUGGGUUUAAAGGGUGCGUAGGUGGUUUAAUAAGUCAGUGGUGAAAGCUGGUUGCUCAACAAUCAAGUUGCCAUUGAUACUGUUAGACUUGAGAGAAGUGGAGGCUGGUGGAAUGGAUGGUGUAGCGGUGAAAUGCAUAGAUAUCAUCCAGAACGUCAAUUGCGAAGGCAGCUGGCUGUACUUUUUCUGACACUGAGGCACGAAAGUGUGGGGAUCAAACAGG
rnacentral:rRNA from 1 species